rnacentral:rRNA from 1 species
UACGUAGGGGGCAAGCGUUGUCCGGAUUUAUUGGGCGUAAAGAGCGUGUAGGCGGUUUGGUAGGUCCGUUGUGAAAACUCGAGCUCAACCUCGAGACGCCGAUGGAAACCCUCGAACUAGAGUCCGGAAGAGGAGAAUGGAAUUCCUGGUGUAGCGGUGAAAUGCGCAGAUAUCAGGAAGAACACCCGUGGCUAAGGCGGUUCUCUAGUACGGUACUGACGCUGAGACGCGAAAGCGUGGGGAGCGAACAGG